rnacentral:rRNA from 1 species
UACGAAGGGUGCAAGCGUUACUCGGAAUUACUGGGCGUAAAGCGCACGUAGGCGGAUCGAUCAGUCAGGGGUGAAAUCCCAGGGCUCAACCCUGGAACUGCCUUUGAUACUGUCGAUCUGGAGUAUGGAAGAGGUGAGUGGAAUUCCGAGUGUAGAGGUGAAAUUCGUAGAUAUUCGGAGGAACACCAGUGGCGAAGGCGGCUCACUGGUCCAUUACUGACGCUGAGGUGCGAAAGCGUGGGGAGCAAACAGG